CAGUAGCCGCGGUAAGACAGAGGAUGCAAGCGUUAUCCGGAAUGAUUGGGCGUAAAGCGUCUGUAGGUGGCUUUUCAAGUCCGCCGUCAAAUCCCAGGGCUCAACCCUGGACAGGCGGUGGAAACUACCAAGCUGGAGUACGGUAGGGGCAGAGGGAAUUUCCGGUGGAGCGGUGAAAUGCGUAGAUAUCGGAAGGAACACCUGUGGCGAAAGCGGCUCACUGGACCAUAACUGACGCUGAUGCACGAAAGCGUGGGGAGCAAACAGGAUUAGAGACCCCCGUAGUCCCUGUCUCUUAUAA
rnacentral:rRNA from 1 species